ensembl:lncRNA
GGGGGGCAGCCCGAAAACGUGGGGGGGGGAAGGGGGUCUGUAGGACAUCAUCAGUCCUGGUUUGUAGGGCAUCUGUCCGUCUGUAGGACGUCUAUGGAGGUCUGUAGGAUGUCAGUCCUGGUUUGUAGGGCAUCUGUCCUAUAGGACAUCUAUGGAGGUCUGUAGGGCAUCUGUCCUUCUAUAGGACAUCUAUGGAGGUCUAUAGGACAUCUGUCCAUUUGUAGGACAUCUAUGGAGGUCUGUAGGGCAUCUGUCCUUCUAUAGGACAUCUAUGGAGGUCUAUAGGAUGUCCAUCCUGGUCUGUAGGACUUCUGUCCUUCUAUAGGACAUCCAUGGAGGUCUGUAGGACAUCUGUCCUGGUUUGUAGGACAUCUGUCCAUCUGUAGGACAUCUAUGGAGGUCUGUAGGACAUCUGUCCAUCUGUAGGACAUCUAUGGAGGUCUGUAGGGCAUCUGUCCGUCUGUAGGACAUCUAUGGAGGUCUAUAGGAUGUCAGUCCUGGUU